rnacentral:rRNA from 1 species
CCUACGGGAGGCAGCAGUGAGGAAUAUUGGUCAAUGGACGCAAGCCUGAACCAGCCAUGCCGCGUGCAGGAAGAAGGCUCUAUGAGUUGUAAACUGCUUUUGCACGGGGGUAAACGCAGAUACGCGUAUCUGUCUGAAAGUAUCGUACGAAUAAGGAUCGGCUAACUCCGUGCCAGCAGCCGCGGUAAUACGGAGGAUUCAAGCGUUAUCCGGAUUUAUUGGGUUUAAAGGGUGCGCAGGGGGGGUGUCAAGUCAGCGGUAAAAUGUCGGGGCUCAACCCAGGCCGGCCGUUGAAACUGGCGUGCUCGAGUUGGAGAGAGGUAGGCGGAAUUCGUGGUGUAGCGGUGAAAUGCAUAGAUAUCACGAAGAACCCCGAUUGCGAAGGCAGCAUGCCGGCUCCACACUGACGCUGAGGCACGAAAGCGUGGGUAUCGAACAGGAUUAGAUACCCUUGUAGUC